rnacentral:rRNA from 1 species
UACGAAGGGGGCUAGCGUUGUUCGGAAUUACUGGGCGUAAAGGGCGCGUAGGCGGCGUGUCAAGUCAGGCGUGAAAGCCCCGGGCUCAACCUGGGAACCGCGCUUGAGACUGGCAUGCUCGAGUUCGGGAGAGGAUGGUGGAAAUUCCCAGUGUAGAGGUGAAAUUCGUAGAUAUUGGGAAGAACACCGAUGGCGAAGGCAGCCAUCUGGACCGACACUGACGCUGAGGCGCGAAAGCGUGGGGAGCAAACAGGG